rnacentral:rRNA from 1 species
GCGAAAACUUUACAAUGCUGGCAACAGCGAUAAGGGAACCUCGAGUGCCAGGUUACAAAUCUGGCUGUCAAGAUGCCUAAAACGCAUUUCAUAGCAAGGGCCGGGCAAGACCGGUGCCAGCCGCCGCGGUAACACCGGCGGCUCGAGUGGUAACCGUUAUUAUUGGGUCUAAAGGGUCUGUAGCCGGCCGGAUAAGUCUCUUGAGAAAUCUGGCAGCUUAACUGUCAGGCUUUCAGGAGAUACUGUCUGGCUCGAGGCCGGGAGAGGUGAGAGGUACUUCAGGGGUAGGGGUGAAAUCUUGUAAUCCGUGAAGGACCACCAGUGGCGAAGGCGUCUCACCAGAACGGACCUGACGGCAAAGGACGAAAGCUAGGGGCACGAACC